UGAACGCUGGCGGUAUGCUUAACACAUGCAAGUCGGACGGAAACGAUACUAGCUUGCUAGUAGGCGUCGAGUGGCGGACGGGUGAGUAACGCGUAGGAAUCUGCCUGAUAGUGGGGGAUAGCCCGAAGAAAUUCGGAUUAAUACCGCAUAAUCUAUUCGUAGUAAAGUGGGGGACUUUCGAGCCUCACGCUAUCAGAUGAGCCUGCGUAAGAUUAGCUUGUUGGUAGGGUAAAAGCCUACCAAGGCGACGAUCUUUAGCUGGUCUGAGAGGAUGAUCAGCCACAUCGGGACUGAGACACGGCCCGAACUCCUACGGGAGGCAGCAGUGGGGAAUAUUGGACAAUGGGGGCAACCCUGAUCCAGCAAUACCGCGUGUGUGAAGAAGGCCUGAGGGUUGUAAAGCACUUUCAAUUGUGAAGAAAAGUUAGCGGUUAAUAACCGUUAGCCUUGACGUUAACUUUAGAAGAAGCACCGGCUAACUCCGUGCCAGCAGCCGCGGUAAUACGGAGGGUGCAAGCGUUAAUCGGAAUUACUGGGCGUAAAGCGUGCGUAGGCGGUUUAUUAAGUCAGAUGUGAAAGCCCCGGGCUUAACCUGGGAACUGCAUUUGAAACUGGUCAACUAGAGUAUGGUAGAGGAAAGUGGAAUUUCUGGUGUAGCGGUGAAAUGCGUAGAUAUCAGAAGGAACAUCAAUGGCGAAGGCAGCUUUCUGGACCAAUACUGACGCUGAGGUACGAAAGCGUGGGUAGCAAACAGGAUUAGAUACCCUGGUAGUCCACGCCGUAAACGAUGAUAACUAGCCGUUGGGGGGAUUUACCCUUUAGUGGCGAAGCUAACGCGUUAAGUUAUCCGCCUGGGGAGUACGGCCGCAAGGUUAAAACUCAAAGGAAUUGACGGGGACCCGCACAAGCGGUGGAGCAUGUGGUUUAAUUCGAUGCAACGCGAAGAACCUUACCUGGUCUUGACAUCCUGCGAACUUUCUAGAAAUAGAUUGGUGCCUUCGGGAACGCAGUGACAGGUGCUGCAUGGCUGUCGUCAGCUCGUGUCGUGAGAUGUUGGGUUAAGUCCCGUAACGAGCGCAACCCCUAUCCUUAUUUGCCAGCACAUCAUGGUGGGAACUAUAAGGAGACUGCCGGUGAUAAACCGGAGGAAGGCGGGGACGACGUCAAGUCAUCAUGGCCCUUACGACCAGGGCUACACACGUGCUACAAUGGGAAGGACAAAGAGCCGCGAAGCCGCGAGGUGUAGCUAAUCUCAUAAACCUUUUCGUAGUCCGGAUUGGAGUCUGCAACUCGACUCCAUGAAGUCGGAAUCGCUAGUAAUCGUAGAUCAGAAUGCUACGGUGAAUACGUUCCCGGGUCUUGUACACACCGC
rnacentral:rRNA from 1 species